CUUCUCCAUUCGACUGCUGAGGGACACUGGGCUAUUUCUGGUUCAGACUGUGAUGAAUGGUGCUCUGUGAAGGUUCCUGGCACGUGUUUUUAGAACAUAUGCAGCAGUAUCUGUGGGGCGCAUUCCCAGGAGAGGACCUCUCGUCAGAUGCACGCAUGUUCCACUUUAUCAGAGGGGCCACUUCUCCAAAGAGACUGUACAAUUUAUGCUCCCACCAGCAGCAUGGGGGUGCUCCACCCGGUUCUUAUCCCCUCCGAGAGCUGGUGUUGUCUGAUGCGUGCUUUUUAGCCGAUUCUGGGAGCUACGGUUCCCUGAAAGUCUGAUCAAGACAGAAUGUCACUCAGGAAAUAACCCCUGAUGGACGCAUUGCACCUAAAUGUGCAGAUCUUUGCAGGUACUAGAAAUAUCUGCUAGGGGCACCCUUGAUUUCGGUUCCCCAAGUGCAGUGACCUGCUUCUGGGUGUGUUCCUUGGUGUGCACCACACUGACCCCUCUGGAGCUGAGCUAGAGACGGAACCGUAGGCCAGGUGGCUUCACCCAUCCACAUGGGUCUUGCUCUCCCACAUCCCAGCUGUCACUUGGUGGUGGGGGGGCCAGAGAAGAGGAGGCACCUUUGCUGAAAACCAAUUGAUCAUAUACACACGAAUCUAUUUCUGGACUCUAUUCUGUUGUAUUGGUCUGUAUUUGUUUCCUUUUGCAAACUACACUGUUUUGAUGACUGCAGCUUUAAAAUAAACUAUCGAAGACAGGGAGUAGCA